rnacentral:rRNA from 1 species
GACGAACGCUGGCGGCGUGCUUAACACAUGCAAGUCGAACGGAAAGGCCCUGCUUUUGUGGGGUGCUCGAGUGGCGAACGGGUGAGUAACACGUGAGUAACCUGCCCUUGACUUUGGGAUAACUUCAGGAAACUGGGGCUAAUACCGGAUAGGAGCUCCUGCUGCAUGGUGGGGGUUGGAAAGUUUCGGCGGUUGGGGAUGGACUCGCGGCUUAUCAGCUUGUUGGUGGGGUAGUGGCUUACCAAGGCUUUGACGGGUAGCCGGCCUGAGAGGGUGACCGGCCACAUUGGGACUGAGAUACGGCCCGGACUCCUACGGGAGGCAGCAGUGGGGAAUAUUGCACAAUGGGCGGAAGCCUGAUGCAGCAACGCCGCGUGCGGGAUGACGGCCUUCGGGUUGUAAACCGCUUUCGCCUGUGACGAAGCGUGAGUGACGGUAAUGGGUAAAGAAGCACCGGCUAACUACGUGCCAGCAGCCGCGGUGAUACGUAGGGUGCGAGCGUUGUCCGGAUUUAUUGGGCGUAAAGGGCUCGUAGGUGGUUGAUCGCGUCGGAAGUGUAAUCUUGGGGCUUAACCCUGAGCGUGCUUUCGAUACGGGUUGACUUGAGGAAGGUAGGGGAGAAUGGAAUUCCUGGUGGAGCGGUGGAAUGCGCAGAUAUCAGGAGGAACACCAGUGGCGAAGGCGGUUCUCUGGGCCUUUCCUGACGCUGAGGAGCGAAAGCGUGGGGAGCGAACAGGCUUAGAUACCCUGGUAGUCCACGCUGUAAACGGUGGGUACUAGGUGUGGGGUCCAUUCCACGGGUUCCGUGCCGUAGCUAACGCUUUAAGUACCCCGCCUGGGGAGUACGGCCGCAAGGCUAAAACUCAAAGGAAUUGACGGGGCCCCGCACAAGCGGCGGAGCAUGCGGAUUAAUUCGAUGCAACGCGUAGAACCUUACCUGGGUUUGACAUGGAUCGGGAGCGCUCAGAGAUGGGUGUGCCUCUUUUGGGGUCGGUUCACAGGUGAUGCAUGGCUGUCGUCAGCUCGUGUCGUGAGAUGUUGGGUUAAGUCCCGCAACGAGCGCAACCCUUGUUCACUGUUGCCAGCACGUUAUGGUGGGGACUCAGUGGAGACCGCCGGGGUCAACUCGGAGGAAGGUGGGGAUGACGUCAAGUCAUCAUGCCCCUUAUGUCCAGGGCUUCACGCAUGCUACAAUGGCUGGUACAGAGAGUGGCGAGCCUGUGAGGGUGAGCGAAUCUCGGAAAGCCGGUCUCAGUUCGGAUUGGGGUCUGCAACUCGACCUCAUGAAGUCGGAGUCGCUAGUAAUCGCAGAUCAGCAACGCUGCGGUGAAUACGUUCCCGGG